rnacentral:tRNA from 1 species
GGGAUGAUAGCUUAGUGAUUAAAGUGCUUGCCUUGCAAACAAAAGGCCUGAGUUUGAUUCCCCCAGAAUCCA